AUCGAACGCUGGCGGCAUGCCUAACACAUGCAAGUCGAACGUGUGGCGGACGGGUGAGUAAUGUCUGGGAAACAGCCCGCUGGAGGGGGGUAACUACUGGAAACGGUAGCUAAUACCGCAUACCAUCGUAUGUGCCCAGAUGGGAUGAGCUAGUAGGUGGGGUAACGGCGCACCUAGGCGACGAUCCCUAGCUGGUCUGAGAGGAUGACCAGCAAAACGGGACCUGCGCAACGGUCCGGCCUCCUACGGUGGGCACCAGUGGGGAAUGUUGCACAAUGGGCGCAAGCCGAAUGCAGACAGCCCGGGUAGUUGAAGAAGGCCUUCGGUUUGUAAGGUACGUUCAGCGAGGAGGCGUUACUCGCAGAGGAAGCACCGGCUAACUCCGUGCCAGCAGCCGCGGUAAUAC
rnacentral:rRNA from 1 species